rnacentral:rRNA from 1 species
UACGUAGGGUGCAAGCGUUGUCCGGAAUUAUUGGGCGUAAAGAGCUCGUAGGCGGUUUGUCGCGUCUGCUGUGAAAACCCGAGGCUCAACCUCGGGCCUGCAGUGGGUACGGGCAGACUAGAGUGCGGUAGGGGAGAUUGGAAUUCCUGGUGUAGCGGUGGAAUGCGCAGAUAUCAGGAGGAACACCAAUGGCGAAGGCAGAUCUCUGGGCCGUAACUGACGCUGAGGAGCGAAAGCAUGGGGGAGCGAACAGGA